rnacentral:rRNA from 1 species
UACGUAGGGUGCAAGCGUUGUCCGGAAUUAUUGGGCGUAAAGAGCUCGUAGGCGGCUUGUCACGUCGACUGUGAAAACCCGGGGCUCAACUCCGGGCCUGCAGUCGAUACGGGCUGGCUUGAGUGCGGUAGGGGAGACUGGAAUUCCUGGUGUAGCGGUGAAAUGCGCAGAUAUCAGGAGGAACACCUACGGCGAAGGCAGCUCGCUGGGACGGUACUGACGCUGAGACGCGAAAGCGUGGGGAGCAAACAGG